rnacentral:rRNA from 1 species
GAUGAAUGCUGGCGGCGUGCCUAACACAUGCAAGUCGAGCGGCAGCGAGGGGUGCUUGCACCCUGUCGGCGAGCGGCGAACGGCUGAGUAACGCGUAGGAAUUUGCCCCAAAGUGAGGAAUAACUGCCCGAAGGGGUAGCUAAUGCCGCAUAUGGUCUUCGGAUUAAAGGAUUUAUCCGCUUUGGGAGAAGCCUGCGUUGGAUUAGGUUGUUGGUAGGGUAAUGGCCUACCAAGCCGACGAUCCAUAGCUGGUCUGAGAGGAUGAUCAGCCAGACUGGAACUGAGACACGGUCCAGACUCCUACGGGAGGCAGCAGUGAGGAAUCUUCCACAAUGGACGAAAGCCUGAUGGAGCAACGCCGCGUGAAGGAUGAAGGCCUUCGGGUUGUAAACUUCUUUUAUGAGUGAAGAAUAUGACGGUAACUCAUGAAUAAGCACCGGCUAACUACGUG